CUUUUCGUUUCUUCACCUCCUCUUACAUUUGUUUGUUCCUGAAUCCGCCCGCUCAAUAAGUUGUCAAAAUUCUUAAUAUUAUCAUCUCACUUCAGCGUACUAAUACGUUCUCUCUGUCUAAUUUGCAUGGGCCAGCUGAUUCCAGUCAUUUACCAGUCACGAUACAGCAUGACACCAUAGGCUAUGCGGCUAUAGAUUGGUAAACCGAAAUCGGUUUCUGACUGUUAAUGCAUUGUUCUUCUCUCGCUGAUUAAGCAGAGGCCCAUGUAUGAAGAUGGAACGACAAAGGCAGUCCUCGCGGCGUCACCGGGCGAUGAGGAUGCGGUGCGAAGCAAGGUUAUGGUGGGAAGGAAAGGAACAAAAGUUCUGACCAAUGAGGCCGGUGAAGUCACAAGGCAAGCGGAAAUUGUUUGCCCAUCAAUUUGUUUAUCUGAUUUAUUCAAACUAGCUGUUGGGAUGACUGCGUUUUGCGCUGCAGCAGUCUACUUGGAGAUCAAGUAUAUACGUGAAAGGCAAGCAGCGUUAGAAGAAAAAGGAUGAUUGAGUGUCAGACGUGUCUUUAGUUUCCAUGAGCAAUCGUUACUAUGAUUGCUAUGUCUCGUAGCUUGUAUAUGUCUCGACUUUGUGUAAGUAUUUUUUUUAAAAGGAGGAAGACCCCCGGCCUAUGCAUUUGAGCGAUGCAUGCACCCAUUUUGUUAUAUGAUGGAUGAUUUUAAUUCGACUUGGAGUUUUCUUGAUUUGAA